rnacentral:rRNA from 1 species
AGUGAACGCUGGCGGUAGGCCUAACACAUGCAAGUCGAACGGCAGCACAGUAAGAGCUUGCUCUUACGGGUGGCGAGUGGCGGACGGGUGAGGAAUACAUCGGAAUCUACUUUUUCGUGGGGGAUAACGUAGGGAAACUUACGCUAAUACCGCAUACGACCUACGGGUGAAAGCAGGGGAUCUUCGGACCUUGCGCGAUUGAAUGAGCCGAUGUCGGAUUAGCUAGUUGGCGGGGUAAAGGCCCACCAGGGCGACGAUCCGUAGCUGGUCUGAGAGGAUGAUCAGCGACACUGGAACGGAGACACGGUCCAGACUCCUACGGGAGGCAGCAGUGGGGAAUAUGGGACAAUGGGCGCAAGCCUGAUCCAGCCAUACCGCGUGGGUGAAGAAGGCCUUGGGGUUGUAAAGCCCUUUUGUUGGGAAAGAAAAGCAGCAGGUUAAGACCCCGCUGUUCUGACGGUACCCAAAGAAUAAGCACCGGCUAACUUCGUG